rnacentral:rRNA from 1 species
CCUACGGGAGGCAGCAGUAGGGAAUCUUCCACAAUGGACGCAAGUCUGAUGGAGCAACGCCGCGUGAGUGAAGAAGGUUUUCGGAUCGUAAAGCUCUGUUGUUGGUGAAGAAAGAUAGUGAGAGUAACUGCUCAUUAUUUGCCGGUAAUCAACCAGAAAGUCACGGCUAUCUACGUGCCAGCAGCCGCGGUAAU